UCAUCACAGCCUGGUUGCCCGGGUGCCUGGGACCUUCAAAGCCGCAGCCCUGCUGCAGCCAGCAGCCAAGGUCAUCAAAGAGGGAGAAGACAUCAGGCAGAUGAGGCAGCCCGGAGGCUACUACCCGUCUUGAGGCACUGAUGAUCCACCUCCUGUGAGCAGAUGGAGGUCAAGAGUGGCAGCUGAAAACCAGGCCAAAGAGGCCGAACAGAGGCAUCUUCAGAGCAAUAAUACCAAAAAGUCAACUAAGAAAAAACCCUGGCCAGGUCAUCUUAUGGACAAGAUGCCUUCCGUAAAAGGAGCUUCUUGCACGAGAAUUCCUCAGCCACAUUCACCCAACCAAGCCUGCCUGCCAUGGCAUUUUGUGAAUGGUAACAAACGCCAUGCUGCCCAAGCACAAGAGCUGUAGCUAAAGCGUGUGAGUGAGGAGUGGGCGGCAGAGGCCCCCCCUGCUCGACAUCCAGCUGCCAGGAUCCUCUGCUU